rnacentral:rRNA from 1 species
AGUAAAUAGAUACCCAGGUAGUCCCAGCUGUAAACGAUGCGCGUUAGGUGUAUCGGUGACCACGAGUUACCGAGGUGCCGAAAGGGAAAACCGUGAAACGCGCCGCCUGGGAAGUACGGUCGCAAGGCUGAAACUUAAAGGAAUUGGCGGGGGAGGCGCUACAACGGGUGGAGCCUGCGGUUUAAUCGGACUCAACGCCGGGAAGCUCACCGGAUAAGACAGCUGGAUGAUAGCCGGGCUGAAGACUCUGCUUGACUAGCUGAGAGGAGGUGCAUGGCCGUCGUCAGUUCGUACUGUGAAGCAUCCUGUUAAGUCAGGCAACGAGCGAGACCCACGCCAACAGUUGCCAGCUUGUCCUCAGGGAUGAAGGGGACACUGUUGGGACCGCCUCUGCUAAAGAGGAGGAAGGAAUGGGCAACGGUAGGUCAGCAUGCCCCGAAUUAUCCGGGCUACACGCGGGCUACAAUGGCCAGGACAAUGGGAAUCGACACCGAAAGGUGGAGGCAAUCUCCUAAACCUGGUCUUAGUUCGGAUUGUGGG